rnacentral:rRNA from 1 species
AUUGAACGCUGGCGGCAGGCCUAACACAUGCAAGUCGAACGAGUGGCGGACGGGUGAGGAAUGUCUUGGAGACUGCCCGCUGGAGGGGGAUAACUACUGGAAACGGUAGCUAAUACCGCCUACCAUCGGAUGUGCCCCGAUGGGAUUAGCUAGUAGGUGGGGUAACGGCUCACCUAGGCGACGAUCCCUAGCUGGUCUGAGAGGAUGACCAGCCACACUGGAACUGAGACACGGUCCAGACUCCUACGGGAGGCAGCAGUGGGGAAUAUUGGACAAUGGGCGCAAGCCUGAUGCAGCCAUGCCGCGUGUAUGAAGAAGGCCUUCGGGUUGUAAAGUACUUUCAGUGAGGAGGCGGUACUCGAAGAAGAAGCACCGGCUAACUCCGUGCCAGCAGCCGCGGUAAUUC